AUUUUAUUCCCCCACUAAAAGACAGUUUUAAAGUGCCCUCCUUCACUGUCCAACUUUAUGCAUCAUCUAAUACUUCUUUUCUCAAUGUCAUGUGGACCUCCUGUGAUUUACCCCAUUUCCUUGCUUAAAAUACUGUGAUGUUGGCUCAUGGACUAUAGACUAAAGCCCACACAAUUUAAUAUGGGGAAGUUGGACCCAAAGACACAUACACACAGAGGGAAGACAAUGUGAAGACAAAGAGAAGACUGUCAUGAAGGCAAAAACUGUGGUGAUGAAUUUACAAGCCAAGGAGUGCCGAAGAUUGCCAGCAAACCACCAGCAUCUAGGAGAGAGGCACGAAAUAGAUUCUCCCUCACAGCGCUCAGAAGGAAGCAAGUCUCCUGACACCUUGAACUCGGCCUUCUAUCCUUCAGAACUGUGAGGCAAUAAAUGCCUGUUGUUUAAGAUACCUACUUGGGGGUCCUUAGUUAUGGCAGCCCUAGUAAACGCACAUACUCUGUUUUAAUUUUAUCUUUCUGUCUACUUUCUUGUUUACUUACAGUCA
rnacentral:lncRNA from 1 species